GAGUAACACGUGACUAACCCGCCCUAGAGUGGGGGAUAACCUCGGGAAACCGGGGCUAAUACCGCAUAACAUCACGAGGGGAAGAUCCUUGUGAUCAAAGGAGCAAUUCGCUCCGGGAGGGGGUCGCGGCUGAUUAGCCAGUUGGCGGGGUAACGGCCCACCAAAGCGAAGAUCAGUAGCCGGCCUGAGAGGGCGCACGGCCACACUGGAACUGAAACACGGUCCAGACUCCUACGGGAGGCAGCAGUGGGGAAUUUUGCGCAAUGGGGGGAACCCUGACGCAGCAACGCCGCGUGGAGGAUGAAGUCCCUUGGGACGUAAACUCCUUUCGACCGGGAAGAUAAUGACGGUACCGGAAGAAGAAGCACCGGCUAACUCUGUGCCAGCAGCCGCGGUAAUACAGAGGGUGCGAGCGUUGUUCGGAAUUAUUGGGCGUAAAGGGCGCGUAGGCGGUGCGGUAAGUCACCUGUGAAAUCUCCUGGCUUAACUGGGAGCUUGCAGGCGAAACUGCCGUGCUGGAGUGUGGGAGAGGUGCGUGGAAUUCCCGGUGUAGCGGUGAAAUGC
rnacentral:rRNA from 1 species